rnacentral:lncRNA from 1 species
GUCAACAGAAACCCUGUGCCUUCACCGGACUCACACUCACACGGUCCCCUGGUUCCUCCAAAAAGACCUUUAUUCCAAUGCCAUAUCAGCGGAAACUGCCCAUUGAGUCACUAAAUCUGGCUGAAAACCCAUGGAAAGGCGUCACACUAAACCAUUGUAUAGCGGUGGCAAUGAUCAUUGUGUUGGUCAGUUCUGGUGUUGAACAAGUACAAGGUGACAGUUCAUUCAAGUGGCUUUAGGUGUCACAUCUCUUGUGUGCGUAAAAAAUGCAGUCAUUUGAUUCACUCCAUUUGAUUUGUUUCAGAGCCCUGGAUGCAAUGUUUGAAGAUAGCUUGGGUGUAAAUGAUGGCACUAAAGAUCUGGCUGAAGGUUAUAUUUGGGAAGGCCUGGCAUUCUGGAAUUGGGGUUCUGACAUUGAGAGAAAAGAAAAAUUAAGAAGACAACAAAUUUCAGGAUAAGAUAUUAUUUGCUUGAUUUAAUGCUAGUCUACAUGUUUAUAUUUCUUUCUCACUUAAUUUUUCUCCAUCCUACAUGCUUGCAUGACACAACACUUACCUUAUUGUAAAGACUCUCCAUUAUUGAUUUAAAAUAUUUAUAUAUAAAAACCACUGAUAAGUGAAAUUUAAUGCUAUGGUGUGUACUCUUACAUCACAUACAAUUGUACGAAUAUGGUAAUGCACAGAUUACCACACUAAUGCCUGACACACAUCUUAGUCCUGGGAGUCAGAUUUUAAUAGAACCAUGGCACCACUGUUUUGUUUUCAAAACUUCACUCUGUCAGUCAUUUAAAUAAAUGCUGAAAAAAACUUUGAAAUUAGUACUGA